CGAACAAUUCUACACUUUCGCGCGCCCUAAAAUAAGCAGCGUACAAUCCAUAAGUUUCUCCCAAAUAUUUUAACGAAACUAAACCUAUCCACAAAGGUCUAGAGGUGUCUAAGGCACUUCCUAACACUCUCGGAUAAUGAUUCCAAGUUCUCCCCAUAGUGAUUAAAAAUUCCCGAAGUUAAAUACACUAUUUUUCACAAAACAAAAUACAUUUUUGUUUUCAAAGCAUACCAUUGACCACUAUGGUUUUAAACUUAGAAGAAGACAUUUACACAGCACAAAAGCAUAUGAAAACAACCUAAAAACUUUUCAAAAAUAUCUCGACAAAAUAAUCGAGUUUUUCUUGUGUCGCAAGUUUCAAGUUUUUCUUUCCAAAAACAAUCCUAUAAUCAUUCUUUUACCCACCUAUGAUCACUUCAUCAAAAGCAUGAUCAUUUUUUCUCAAAUGUGGACUUAGAAAAAAUUUGGAAAUUUCCCCCAUUCACCUCCUUUAGGUUCGGCCAAGCAAAACCAAAAUCUCACUUCCGCUCAAAAAUUUUCGCUUCCGAGAGCUUGGUAAUAUCCCAUAAUACCCCCAAGUCACUAAUCCAAGCACCCAAAAAUAUUUCGGGCGAAGCCUCUAAUUACGACAAAAUCAAUUUUUGGUUCCCAAAGACAAAAACAAUACAUAUAUCAUUUUUACCCAAAACUUUUUGAUUGGUAAUUCGCCCUAGGCCAUGAUUGUGCCUCCCACAAAGUCUUAACAAAAUUUGAAAACUCCUCCUCACUUUUCACAAUUUUUCUCAUGACCAAAAUUUUGAAAAUAAAACCAACACUUCAAAGUUUUCCAUACAAAACCCUAGUGAUCAUUCUACUAGUUGACAUGGCCAUGGAAUUGAUCAACCAAACCACUUUGAGCAUCAAAACAAAAGUUUCUAAAAAUAUGU
rnacentral:lncRNA from 1 species